GUCUACUUUUCUUACUCCAUGUAGGUUUCCCAGAGACUAUGGGUUGAGGAGGAAUUGGAAGUUUGUCUGCUUAGACCUGGUGUCAUUCCAUCAGUGUUAAACUUCCCGGCUCAUCUUGGAAGAGUACGUGCCAGAAAGACCACGACCAAGCAGCCUUGAGAUCUUAGGCAGUGUCUCCCUGAGGUCCCUCUCUAUCUCCCUACACAUCCACCAACCACUGGAACACAUCUCCAAAGUUCUGCCGGUCCAGCUCAGCUUCCCCUCAGAAGAAGUGCCGCCACCUGCCAGAUGAAGGAGCCUUUUGAGAGGCAGCUGGCAUCAUGAUUGGACUGUAC
ensembl:lncRNA